UAUUAUUAUUAUUAGUUUGGGCUUUUCUGCUUUUAAUGGACAGGACAACUAAGUGAGAAAGGGAAGACACGCAGGAAAUUGUCACAAGUCAGACUCGAACCCUGGACCUCUUUCUCAAGGUACAAACCUCCAAGUACAC